rnacentral:rRNA from 1 species
ACAGCAGUAGCCGCGGUAAUACGUAGGUGGCAAGCGUUGUCCGGAAUUAUUGGGCGUAAAGGGCUCGCAGGCGGUUUCUUAAGUCUGAUGUGAAAGCCCCCGGCUCAACCGGGGAGGGUCAUUGGAAACUGGGAAACUUGAGUGCAGAGGAGGAGAGUGGAAUUCCACGUGUAGCGGUGAAAUGCGUAGAGAUGUGGAGGAACACCAGUGGCGAAGGCGACUCUCUGGUCUGUAACUGACGCUGAGGAGCGAAAGCGUGGGGAGCAAACAGGAUUAGAUACCCGCGUAGUCCCUGUCUCUUAUAC